CUGUGUUGCUUACCAUAGAGUGGAACUCGAAUGGUUUCUCGUUGUUGCAUUCGCUCGGUGCCUUCGUGGUGCGGAGCGGACCGUAAGCUGACCACGUGUUCCGGACGUGCCUCGCUCGAUUGCUUGGCCGUCUCGGAGCUCGUGGUCGACGCUCGUUCCCUCGGAUGCGGACCGUUGUAUGCGAGUGAAGGGGCUUAAUAACUCGAUUCGCUCGGUUCGAACGCAUUUGUCAAGAGUGACACGAACGACCGCCGCGCCCGUCUUGGCUCCGGAGCUCCACCGCUCCGUGAGAUUUCAUGCGGGUGUCGGCGUCGUGAAGGAAUGCUACCUGGUUGAUCCUGCCAGUAGUCA
rnacentral:misc_RNA from 1 species